GACGAACGCUGGCGGUGUGCUUCACACAUGCAAGUCGAACGGAGUAGCAAUACUCAGUGGCGGACGGGUGAGUAACACGUGGGAAUCUACCAUUAGAUGGGGGAAUAACAGGCCGAAAGGACUGCUAAUGCCGCAUAUGUAUUAACCUCGACAGGGGUGAAUAUGAAAGGAGUAAUCCGGUCUGAUGAUGAGCCCGCGUCCGAUUAGCUAGUUGGUAAGGUAAAGGCUUACCAAGGCGACGAUCGGUAGGUGGUCUGAGAGAUGAUCACCCAACAAAUGGGACUGAGACACGGUCCAUACUCCUACGGGAGGCAGCAGUGGGGAAUUUUGUGCAAUGGGGGAAACCCUGACACAGCGACACCGCGUGAGCGAAGAAGCCCCCUUGGGGGUGUAAAGCUCUGUCAACGGGAACGAAAAAAAAUGACGGUAACCCCGUGGGAGGAAGCAUCGGC
rnacentral:rRNA from 1 species